UAUUUCCUAGUCUUUUUUUGACUGUCGUUCGGUUUGGUAGUUUGUUGGUAGUUCCGUUCGCGGCUACCGGAAAAUUUCGAGUAGUACUUGGGAAAUUUUUUAUCCUAGGUCUAUCAAAAACUAACAUUUGCGGAUUAUUCCAUACGGGACGAAGUGAAACGAAAUUGCAUUUGAAGAAAAAUAUAAGAAAAACGCAUUCUGCCACCGGAUAUUGCGUAGCUUAGCACUGAGUUGACUUGCCACAUAUUGUAUUUAAAUAUCAAGAGGAGACAACCAAUUUAGAAGAACGCUGACACAAUGUUUUCACGUCCAAUAUUGUGUGGAAAUCUAUCGAAAAUAUGCGCCGCAUCGCGUCCCGCAGCUGCCGCAGCAACGCCCAUAGGACAACAAAUAGCGCCGACCGACUCUAGACCAUUUCACGAUGUUGUCGGCGAUGUUGUCUGUCCCUCUGGUGUACGAGGUAUUGAUCAUUUGAGAGACCCGCGUUUGAAUAAGGGUCUCGCAUUCACAUUGGAAGAACGUCAAACCUUGGGUAUUCAUGGCCUGCAACCUGCCCGUUUCAAGACCCAAGAAGAGCAGCUGGAGCUGUGUAAAAUCGCCGUGAGUCGUUAUACAGAGCCACUAAACAAAUAUCUGUACCUGGUCGACUUGCAAGAUCGUAAUGAGCGCUUGUUCUAUCGUUUCCUGGCGGAGAACAUUGAACAUCUCAUGCCCAUUGUGUACACACCGACUGUGGGUUUGGCGUGCCAACGUUUCGGUUUGAUUUAUCGCAGACCACGUGGUCUUUUUAUCACCUUAAAUGAUCGUGGCUACGUUUAUGAUGUGAUCAAAAAUUGGCCAGAGUCAGAUGUGCGUGCCAUUUGUGUAACAGAUGGUGAACGUAUUUUAGGUUUAGGCGAUUUGGGUGCCAACGGUAUGGGUAUUUGUGUCGGCAAGCUGGCUCUUUACACCGCUUUGGCUGGCAUUAAACCGCAUCGCUGCUUGCCAAUUAUGCUGGACGUAGGCACAAAUAAUAUCGAUCUGCUGGAGGAUCCACUGUAUGUGGGCUUGAGGCAGAAGCGUGUUGUUGGCAAAGAGUAUGACGACUUUGUAGAUGAAUUUAUGGAAGCUGUUGUCAAGCGCUAUGGCCAGAAUACCCUAAUUCAAUUUGAAGAUUUCGGCAAUCACAAUGCAUUUAGAUUUCUCGACAGAUACCGUGACACCUAUUGUACUUUCAAUGAUGAUAUUCAGGGUACCGCAUCUGUUGCUAUGGCAGGCAUUUAUGCAUCUACCCGCGUAACCGGUAAGGCUAUAACGGAUUAUACGUUCCUAUUCGCUGGUGCAGGUGAGGCAGCCGUCGGUAUCGCAGAUCUCGUCGUGAAAGCCAUGAUUGCAGAGGGUAUACCCAAAGAUGAAGCCAGAAAUAAGAUUUGGAUGGUUGACAUUGACGGUCUUCUAACAACAACUCGCAAAGAGGGUUCCUUGUCACCGCACCAGCAAAACUAUGCCAAGAAUGUUGAGCCAAUGAAGAACUUGCAAGAUAUUGUGGAGAAAGUGAAACCGAAUGUGCUCAUUGGUGCUUCAGCAGCUGCUGGCAUUUUUACGCCAGAAAUUCUGCGCAUCAUGGCUACAAAUAAUGAGCGUCCUGUUGUGUUCGCUCUCUCCAAUCCAACCCAUAAAGCUGAAUGUACAGCGGAUCAGGCAUACAAAAACACUGAUGGUCGCGUUGUAUUCUCAUCCGGUUCACCAUUCCCACCUGUGGAAAUGAAUGGAAAAACUUUCUACCCUGGCCAAGGCAACAAUGCGUAUAUCUUUCCUGGUGUAGCUUUGGGUGUUAUUACCACUGGAACUCACCAUAUAUCCGACGAUAUGUUCCUCAUUGCUGCACGGGAAUUGGCAAACUUCGUUGACCAAAGCGAUUUGGAUCGCGGUUCGCUAUACCCACCAUUGGAUGCCGUGCGUGAGGUGUCGAUGCGCAUCGCCGAAAACGUAACCAAGUGUGCUUAUGAUAAGGGCUUGGCUUCCACUUACCCCGAACCAGUUGAUAAACGCAAGUGGUUGGAGGAUCAACUAUACAAAUUUAACUAUCAGUCCUCGAUGCCAGUGACGUGGCCAUGGCCCAGAAUGCCAUAUGUGAGAACUCGCCCAUUGGAACCUACCAUUCUCUUCAGUGACUCAAAAUAUAAAAAGGAAAGCGAUAAGAAAAAAAAUGAAAAGAAAGCGGAAACAAUCCCGGGAGAAAAUAAAAGACCCAUUUGAAUUUUGUGUGAAUGUGUGGCGCUUCUGAAAAUAAUAUUCUCUGGAAAGUAUGAAUUGCAUGGCUGCUGCGAUGGUCUAGUAGUAAGCUGGAUUCUCCCGAAAAAUUGAAUGCUUUUCCCCCAAUUCGAUUGACAAGAAGCAUAAAAUAAAAGCAAAAAUGAAAGAAGAAACCGUUAAACCGUUAUAUGGCUGCCGUAAUUCACCCAUAAAAACUUCACAUUUGGAUGCUGCUCGCAAACGUGUGUAUGUGUAUAUUUGUGGGUUAUGUAAACGAACAUACAAACAUAUUUACAUGCAUACAUACAUACAUAUACCUACAUGCCCUCAUCUGCCCCGUUGACAUCCUAGAGGCAUAAAACUGAUAAACCUUAUCCACAAAUAAGAAGUAAAUGAUGACAGCUAACACCGUUCGAAAAAUUUGUAUUAUUACAUAUACAUAUAUACUUACAUGCAUAUGUUUAUAUGUUUACAAUUGUAUUGCAUUGUAUUGUUACAUAGAUCAUUGUUUAGAUUAAUUUAUAAUUACACAGCUUUACUACCUUGUAAUGCAGAUUUAGUUUAACUUAAUUUAAUUAAUAGACAACGCGAAAUAAAAUUAAAAAUUAAAAGAAAAA